rnacentral:rRNA from 1 species
AGAUUGAACGCUGGCGGCAGGCCUAACACAUGCAAGUCGAGCGGAUGAAGGGAGCUUGCUCCUGGAUUCAGCGGCGGACGGGUGAGUAAUGCCUAGGAAUCUGCCUGGUAGUGGGGGAUAACGUCCGGAAACGGGCGCUAAUACCGCAUACGUCCUGAGGGAGAAAGUGGGGGAUCUUCGGACCUCACGCUAUCAGAUGAGCCUAGGUCGGAUUAGCUAGUUGGUGGGGUAAAGGCCUACCAAGGCGACGAUCCGUAACUGGUCUGAGAGGAUGAUCAGUCACACUGGAACUGAGACACGGUCCAGACUCCUACGGGAGGCAGCAGUGGGGAAUAUUGGACAAUGGGCGAAAGCCUGAUCCAGCCAUGCCGCGUGUGUGAAGAAGGUCUUCGGAUUGUAAAGCACUUUAAGUUGGGAGGAAGGGCAGUAAGUUAAUACCUUGCUGUUUUGACGUUACCAACAGAAUAAGCACCGGCUAACUUCGUGCCAGCAGCCGCGGUAAUACGAAGGGUGCAAGCGUUAAUCGGAAUUACUGGGCGUAAAGCGCGCGUAGGUGGUUCAGCAAGUUGGAUGUGAAAUCCCCGGGCUCAACCUGGGAACUGCAUCCAAAACUACUGAGCUAGAGUACGGUAGAGGGUGGUGGAAUUUCCUGUGUAGCGGUGAAAUGCGUAGAUAUAGGAAGGAACACCAGUGGCGAAGGCGACCACCUGGACUGAUACUGACACUGAGGUGCGAAAGCGUGGGGAGCAAACAGGGUUAGAUACCCUGGUAGUCCACGCCGUAAACGAUGUCGACUAGCCGUUGGGAUCCUUGAGAUCUUAGUGGCGCAGCUAACGCGAUAAGUCGACCGCCUGGGGAGUACGGCCGCAAGGUUAAAACUCAAAUGAAUUGACGGGGGCCCGCACAAGCGGUGGAGCAUGUGGUUUAAUUCGAAGCAACGCGAAGAACCUUACCUGGCCUUGACAUGCUGAGAACUUUCCAGAGAUGGAUUGGUGCCUUCGGGAACUCAGACACAGGUGCUGCAUGGCUGUCGUCAGCUCGUGUCGUGAGAUGUUGGGUUAAGUCCCGUAACGAGCGCAACCCUUGUCCUUAGUUACCAGCACCUCGGGUGGGCACUCUAAGGAGACUGCCGGUGACAAACCGGAGGAAGGUGGGGAUGACGUCAAGUCAUCAUGGCCCUUACGGCCAGGGCUACACACGUGCUACAAUGGUCGGUACAAAGGGUUGCCAAGCCGCGAGGUGGAGCUAAUCCCAUAAAACCGAUCGUAGUCCGGAUCGCAGUCUGCAACUCGACUGCGUGAAGUCGGAAUCGCUAGUAAUCGUGAAUCAGAAUGUCACGGUGAAUACGUUCCCGGGCCUUGUACACACCGCCCGUCACACCAUGGGAGUGGGUUGCUCCAGAAGUAGCUAGUCUAACCGCAAGGGGGACGGUUACCACGGAGUGAUUCAUGACUGGGGUGAAGUCGUAACAAGGUAGCCGUAGGGGCCUGCGGCUG